rnacentral:rRNA from 1 species
UACGUAGGGUGCAAGCGUUGUCCGGAAUUAUUGGGCGUAAAGAGCUCGUAGGCGGUUUGUCGCGUCUGCUGUGAAAACUCAGGGCUUAACCCUGAGCCUGCAGUGGGUACGGGCAGACUAGAGUGUGGUAGGGGAGAUCGGAAUUCCUGGUGUAGCGGUGGAAUGCGCAGAUAUCAGGAGGAACACCGGUGGCGAAGGCGGGUCUCUGGGCCGAUACUGACGCUGAGGAGCGAAAGCGUGGGGAGCGAACAGG